UACAGAGGGGGCAAGCGUUGUUCGGAAUUACUGGGCGUAAAGGGCGCGUAGGCGGCUCUUCAAGUCAGCCGUGAAAUCUCCAGGCUUAACCUGGAAGGGUCGGUUGAUACUGUCGAGCUAGAGUGUAGAAGAGGCAACUGGAAUUCCGUGUGUAGCGGUGAAAUGCGUAGAUAUACGGAGGAACACCUGCGGCGAAGGCGGGUUGCUGGGCUAACACUGACGCUGAGGCGCGAAAGCUAGGGUAGCAAACGGG
rnacentral:rRNA from 1 species